GACGGGGCAGCUACAUGGGAAUCAAUUAGAGACAGCACCGAUUAAAGAUUCAGCGGUGCUGUGGUGCGGGAAAACUAUCCAUCACACCUGUAUGCAUUCCAGCAUACAGGUGGAACACAUAGGGAAACACUAUGAUAGUACAUCCUGAAGCAUUAUACAAUUUAGCAAUUCUGACACUUUAAAACUUGAGGUAGUGCAUUUUACAAAGUGGUAUUCAAAACUACUUAUAGGUUUACAUUAUCUAAGUGCCUUUGAGGUAUUUUCAUUGUCCCAUAUGGGACUUUUAUACACUUUUUUCAUAUGAGUGAUUCAGGAAGUGAUGUCAUACCCAGGAAUGUAUUUAAAUCUAGGAGGGUCUCUCAGUCAUUCUAUUCUGACUGGUGACCUAUGCACAUGCACAUAUUGGAGUCUGUGCAUUUUUUCCAUUUGGGAUUUUUGGUCACUAGUAAAUGGGAUUUCUCAUAUAUAUUUGAGCAUUUGUAGAUGCUGUAUAUUAUUCAUCUUUGGGACCUUUUUAUCCUAAUGGAUUUUUUAACAUGAAAAGAUAUACACCCCUGAUGAAGUCAUAGAGAUGAAACGUGUAGGGUUCACCAAUUUGUGUCCAUUGUGUCAUUGUAACAACUAUCUCCACCUAGAGCUCACACCUUUUGUUAAGGUGAGGGGAGAUUUGUGCCAUCUAUUGUAUUAUGACAUCUAUAUGGACGUGAUUGGAGUUGUAAUUUUGUAUGAUAUUUUAUAUUGCUGAUUGAAUAAAACAUCAUUGUUUGAUAUUAA